rnacentral:rRNA from 1 species
UACGAAGGGGGCUAGCGUUGCUCGGAAUCACUGGGCGUAAAGCGCACGUAGGCGGCCUUUUAAGUCAGGGGUGAAAUCCUGGAGCUCAACUCCAGAACUGCCUUUGAUACUGAGAAGCUUGAGUCCGGGAGAGGUGAGUGGAACUGCGAGUGUAGAGGUGAAAUGCGUAGAUAUUCGCAAGAACACCAGUGGCGAAGGCGGCUCACUGGCCCGGUACUGACGCUGAGGUGCGAAAGCGUGGGGAGCGAACAGG